AGAGGCAAAGAAAAAAAAGAAAAAAAAAAAGAAAGAAAGAAAGAAAGAAAAAGCGUGGUGCUUCUUCACUUGCCUGUCAGGUGGAUCAUUUGAAGGCGAGAAAAGUAAACCGAAGGAAGGAGAAGGAAUCGACGGUCCCAGCCGCGCCGGGUAUUCCUUGCUAUGUGGUGGGAUCGCAAUUACGGCUUCGUGGACGACUCAGUACUCUGUGCGGUGGCACCUCGAGGAACCCCUGGCCCUCGCAGGACCCCGGGCUCCUUGUCGUUGGCAGAGCCCGGAUUUUCCCCAGACCCCGGGCACCGGGCUUCACCACCUGCGUCUUUAUAGAGCUGUGAGCGCUCCCAGGAGCAAAGUCUCGACUCCUUCGGCGGCUGCCACGAGCAGGACUUCUCCACGCCCCAAAGACUGGACUUAACGCGGCUUCCUGGGUCGCGGGGCUGCAGCGUCUGCUCUCAGGCCCCAGGCCCAGGCCCCCGCCCCGGCCACCUCCGUCCGUUCCCGUCAGGGGCCACCUGCCCUGGGAGC